CCUUCUGCGACUCCCCCGAACACUUCAAUCCUUGACUAAAGCCGAGAAGAAUCUGUGUGAGACUGGAUGUGGGUACAGGUUCAGAUUCCACCCUGCAACUUAUCUUAGCUGGGUACCACUACAAAAGUUUCCUCCCCUAUAAAACAGGCAUGCUUGACGCUUCUGAGGCGCUGAAGACAAAAACCAGGGUUCCGUGGAUGUUCCUCAAGCACUCGCCCACCGCGCUACAGACCCAGCCUGGAUGUGGCCCAGAAGACCUCGUUUGGCAUUCAGAAUCAGCUGGCUGGAACUCCCCAGACACCCGGGCCAAGCUCACUGCAUCUCCAUCCUGACCGGUCUAGCCCACCUCUCUGCUGUCUGCGACAGCCGCAAGAUGCUCUACUCACAUGCCUUCCAGGGAGGUAGGGUGGGUAAGGGACUUACCACCAACUAGUCUGUCCUCUGAGAGAGCGGAACAGCACAGAGCAUGGGGAGAGGAUCUAAAAGGGAUGGAAACAGCACCCAGUACCAGCUCUUGAGUGCCUGGGAUGGGUAACCUAGCAGGUAAGAGGAGCUAUCCUGAGGUGACUUCCUUUCUUUCUAGAAUGUUCUCCAGGAAUAUGGUUGCCCAGGAUUACU